rnacentral:rRNA from 1 species
AAUGAACGUUGGCGGCAUGGAUUAGGCAUGCAAGUCGAGCGAGAAGAGUUUUGAAGCUUGCUUUAGAACCCGGACAGCGGCGAAAGGGAGAGUAACGCGUAGUUAUGUGCCCUAGGGUCCGGAAUAGCCACGGGAAACUGUGGGUAAUGCCGGAUAAUAUCCCCGGAUCAAAGGUGUGAUUCCGCCCUAGGAGCAGACUGCGUCCUACUAGCUAGUUGGUGGGGUAAUGGCCCACCAAGGCAAUGAUGGGUAGCGGGUGUGAGAGCAUGACCCGUCUCACUGGGACUGAGACACUGCCCAGACACCUACGGGUGGCUGCAGUCGAGAAUCUUCGGCAAUGGGCGAAAGCCUGACCGAGCGAUGCCGCGUGCGGGAUGAAGGCCCUCGGGUUGUAAACCGCUGUCGUAGGGGAGGAAGGUUCCGUGAAGAGCGGGACUUGACCUAUCCUAGGAGGAAGUACGGGCUAAGUUCGUGCCAGCAGCCGCCGUAA